GGUAUGAUGGCUGAGGUUAGGCGGUAAGCUGUAAACUUACAAACGGAUUGAUAAUCCUUUUACC
rnacentral:tRNA from 1 species